CGAAAGGAGUAUCCGUACUCUUCAACCCUUUGUGAACAUACCAUUGUCAGUUGCUUCGGCGGGAGGCCCCUGGGAGGGGCCCCGGGGCCCGGUCCUGAGCCGGGCUCCCGCCGGAGGAGCGCAAACCAAACUCUUGCUGUACCAACAGUGGCACCUCCGAGUUAAAAACAAAAACAAGUUA
rnacentral:misc_RNA from 1 species